rnacentral:misc_RNA from 1 species
AUAAACGGCAAAGCUCGCGAGAGCCUAGCUUUAUAUUAUUCCAUGACACCUGUGAACCCAUUUGCCCUCCUUCACCGGAGGGUACACUUUACAAACAUAACUGUAACGAAUGUAAACUAUUGUAACAUAAUA